GAUGAACGCUGGCGGUAUGCUUAACACAUGCAAGUCGAACGGACUCUUCGGAGUUAGUGGCGGACGGGUGAGUAACGCGUGAGAAUCUGGCUUUGGGUUCGGGACAACCACUGGAAACGGUGGCUAAUACCGGAUGUGCCGAGAGGUAAAAGAGAAAUUGCCUGAAGAUGAGCUCGCGUCUGAUUAGCUAGUUGGUGAGGUAAAGGCUCACCAAGGCAGCGAUCAGUAGCUGGUCUGAGAGGAUGACCAGCCACACUGGGACUGAGACACGGCCCAGACUCCUACGGGAGGCAGCAGUGGGGAAUUUUCCGCAAUGGGCGAAAGCCUGACGGAGCAAUACCGCGUGAGGGAAGAAGGCUCUUGGGUUGUAAACCUCUUUUCUUAGGGAAGAACAAAAUGACGGUACCUAAGGAAUCAGCAUCGGCUAACUCAGUG
rnacentral:rRNA from 1 species